GACAGAGGGUGCAAACGUUGUUCGGAUUUACUGGGCGUAAAGCGCGUGUAGGCGGCUUGGCAAGUCGGAUGUGAAAGCCCACGGCUCAACCGUGGAAGCGCAUCCGAAACUGCUUCGCUCGAGUCUCGGAGAGGAAGGUGGAAUGCUUGGUGUAGAGGUGAAAUUCGUAGAUAUCGAGAGGAACACCGGUGGCGAAGGCAGCGAUCUGAACGAUGACUGACGCUGAGACGCAAAAGCGUGGGAAGCAAACAGG
rnacentral:rRNA from 1 species